rnacentral:rRNA from 1 species
UACGUAGGGGGCAAGCGUUGUCCGGAAUCAUUGGGCGUAAAGAGCGCGUAGGCGGCCCAGUAAGUCCGCUCUGAAAGUCAGGGGCUCAACCCUCGAAUGCCGGUGGAUACUGUCGGGCUUGAGUACGGGAGAGGCGAGUGGAAUUCCUGGUGUAGCGGUGAAAUGCGCAGAUAUCAGGAGGAACACCGAUUGCGAGGGCAGCUCGCUGGAACGUUACUGACGCUGAGACGCGAAAGCGUGGGGAGCAAACAGG